CCUACGUGAUGCUGCAGUGGGGAAUAUUGGACAAUGGGCGAAAGCCUGAUCCAGCCAUGCCGCGUGUGUGAAGAAGGCCUUCGGGUUGUAAAGCACUUUCAGUGGGGAAGAAAGCCUUGGGGCUAAUACCCUCGAGGAAGGACAUCACCCACAGAAGAAGCACCGGCUAACUCCGUGCCAGCAGCCGCGGUAAUACGGAGGGUGCGAGCGUUAAUCGGAAUUACUGGGCGUAAAGCGCGCGUAGGCGGUCUGAUAAGCCGGUUGUGAAAGCCCCGGGCUCAACCUGGGAACGGCAUCCGGAACUGUCAGGCUAGAGUGCAGGAGAGGAAGGUAGAAUUCCCGGUGUAGCGGUGAAAUGCGUAGAGAUCGGGAGGAAUACCAGUGGCGAAGGCGGCCUUCUGGACUGACACUGACGCUGAGGUGCGAAAGCGUGGGUAGCAAACAGGAUUAGAUACCCUGGUAGUC
rnacentral:rRNA from 1 species